rnacentral:lncRNA from 1 species
UAAUUUUCUCUCUUGAGUCAAAGUCUGCUUCCAUUGCAGGAUCAGUGACCAAGAUUGGACAGGCUUCCAUGAAUCAAAACUUAAUGGUGGUUGCCACCAAGUUCUGUUCACUUCUUUUUGACCUAUAUCCAAGAAUUCUUUGCGAAAGCGAGCCUUGAAGAUUGCCGCCUCCAAGUCCCAUUUCAAACUCUUUUAUUGGAGUCUUUAUGAAUCAAGCCUUAAUGGUUUUAGCCACCAAGUCUUGUUCAGACUCAUCCUAAUUAAACAAUAG